rnacentral:rRNA from 1 species
GUGGCGCACGGGUGAGUAACACGUGGGAACGUACCCUUUAGUACGGAAUAACUGAGGGAAACUUCAGCUAAUACCGUAUGACUCCUUCGGGAGAAAGAUUUAUCGCUAAAGGAUCGGCCCGCGUCUGAUUAGGUAGUUGGUGAGGUAAUGGCUCACCAAGCCUACGAUCAGUAGCUGGUCUGAGAGGAUGAUCAGCCACACUGGGACUGAGACACGGCCCAGACUCC